rnacentral:lncRNA from 1 species
UUAUUUUGUUGUUUGGGCUUUUAAGUCAUUGCAUACCACACCCCAAUGGGGUUUGGUUAGAUCAUUGGGUUAGAAUUGAGCCCGCAAUUUGUUUAACUAUCGGGUAAUUUUGAAUCAUUUGUGUUCCUAGAGUAAAAACAAAGGUUUAAAGGGUUAAUUUAGGAAGUCUAGGUGGGGGAAUCUCAGUAAGUGAUUGAGGAAGCUU